CUGAAGAAUAAACACUUAAUUUGGUCAAAAAGAUAAGAAGCAUUUAUACAAAGUCCAUAUAAAAACAACAUCAGUUGUUAUGCAAAUGUUAUCUUAAACGCCGUGUGUUCAGAAAGCUGUUUUUGACAUCUCUUCCUGCUGUUGUGGCUUUGUUAUCUACAAGCUGAAAGCCCGUGCCAAGUACAUUUUAUACAAAUGGUUGCAGCAGCAAAGGGUCCAUUCUUGCUGGAACAGAAACUCGAGUUUCAUCUGUGAUAUGACUUAGAAAAGUAUUUCAAAUGCUUACAGUACUUAAGAGCCCCUUCUGGUUUAAUCCAGUGGUUUUCAUGCAGUGAUAAAUGUGCUUUGUGUUUUUACUUGACUGAUAGGGUGUUCAGCACUGAAGAGAUGAACAUAUCUACCCCCUCUUAGUCUAUUUUAGAUUUUACAAUACGUUUGGUAAGUUGGUGCUUUGCAAAAUUCCCUACUAGGACUAUAGAAAAUUGUUUGUAUAAACUGAUUAUUGUAAUGUUGUCAACAGUUUUAAGAUGAUACACACUGUCAAUAUUACUUUAUGUAUACACAGUAAAUAAUGAAACUUUUGACUUGGGGUGUGCAGAGAAGUAAUUUUGUCUAAGUGAUGAAUAUAAAGAUUACACAAUCUGCGUAAGUUAGAAAAGUCAACAAGAUGAUUGGAGGAUUGAGAAGGUAAGACAGUUAGACUUCAUGCUGUAUCUUACUGGUUAUAGCCUCCAAAAUUAUAAUAGUGCAAUGGCAGCUCAUGCUCUCCUCCUGACAUGAGGGAAAGCAGUACUGCAUUUGCACAUAAAAUUUGCAUACCACUGAGGGCUUCCACCUUCCAUUUUUCUUAAGCUUACUAAGGGGUGACAAGUAGGGGAGGAAGAGCCUUACUUAGCUCAAUGAAAGUCUUCUCAAUAAAGCUACACAACUGCUUGAUGAGGAUUAGUCAUACCUUAUUUCCAGUUGUUUUGUUGGCAGUGCUUUGUAUUAAUGGAACUGCUUUUUCUGUUUUCCCAGGCAGCACCAAGAGCUAAUGGGAUUUGUCAUGCCAAGCUUCGACCCUUUAUACGGAAUUGUUAAAAGAGGAAGCUGCAGUACCAAAAGUAGACCGUGCUUGACUGCAUGAGACUGUACCUCUCUCAGAGCAAAUUAAAUCUUACUUCACAAACUUUAUGAGAUACAAACUUUAAAUCUUUAAAGUUAAAUCUUUCAACAUCUCAUUUUUUUUUUUGCAUGGCAACAAUGAACCAGUGAUUGAGUUCUUAGAGCUGUAACUUGAAUAACUGGGGAGAACAAACGCUAAGGUUCCUAGUAAGAUACAUACAAAAUGUGUUCUUAUCCCUUCAAAUUAAUAUUCGUAGUUUGAUUUACUCUCAAGACCAUAGAGGUCAAUUUUAAAACAAACAAAUUAACAUCAUCAAUAAACAAAGUAUACACAAACCCUUUGUUUUUGCAGGCUCUUGUUUCUUCCUAGUAGCAUUAAUCCCUUUUUAGAUACUUGGUAAACUUAAAACUUACUGUACUGCUGUUUAAUACAGAUUUUUUUUUCUCAGCUAGAAAGAGGUAUCCUUUGAAAACGUAAAUGUUGUUAACAAAAAGGAAUGUAUUGGCAAUGUAAGCCAGUAAUUCAUAACUAGCUAAAACUGUGAAGAGAUAGCUGCUUACAAAGGCGAAUUGUGAACUGAUUUUAAGCAAUAACACUACAGGCAUUCAGGGUACUCGUAGCUGUAUUACUAACUGUAUGCUACUGAAGUAAAGAGUCCCUUACGUUUAAAUUGUGUGCUUUAAUGAUUUAAACAGCACUGAAUGAAUAUUUCAUUUUAUAUUAUGAGAGUCUAAGGAUAGAGUAAGAUAAAUAGCUAGCAACCUGUCCUGGUUUUACCCCACAGUGCUUGACAGUUGCUUGCGUGAUCCAGGAAGAUCGUGAGACUAUCAAUUUUCCUUUACUUGGGCAACUAUCAGAACUGUAAUUUGACUAAAACUGGAUUAAAUUUUUCUCAUUGUAGAAGAGUGCUCACCUCCAGCAUAUGCACAAGAUAGUAUCAAGAUGCACACUGCUUAAAUUUACAAUAAUUUAUUGUGUUUAGGAACAGUGAAUAAAUACCAAGCUGUUAGCUUCAGUUUGGCAGUACUUUUCCAACCAAAAUGUGUUUUUUUUUUUUUCUUUUUUUUUUUUUUUCUGGCAGAAACUCCAUUGCCAGCAAUGGAUGCAUCAGAACAUGAAAUUAAUAAACAAUACACACAGACAGCAGUUUUCUAAACAUACCCCCUCUUUUAAAAGGCGUGAUACAGAUUUACUGAACAAGUCUCAAGCAAAUUCUUCACAGAAGAAAAUUUUGCUACAAGCUGUCCUCUCUUCAAACAUUGUUUUCUUCACCAAUGCUGGUAGUUUAUUUCAUGGAGUACAUUAUCUAUUUUUAACAGUACUGAUGGAUCAUUAAAAACAAUUUUUGUUUUCUACUGAAGGCGAAGAUGUGCUCUGACUUGACCUGGUUCACAUCCAUCACAAGUAUCACUGCCAGGAUGUAUAUGAAAAGAAAGUACUGUUUCACCAAUCUUCACUUCAUCACCAUGCUCCAAGAUGUAGGGAUCACAUUUCGUUUUCGGCUAUAGCAAAAGAAAGUUUGGCAGCCAUGGUUAUUAGCUCCUAAAGCAGCACACCAAAUCUAUUUUGUGAAUGCUGCUCAUAAUCUAAUGAUUCAGCUUGGUCUUUCAAAUGCAGACAAAUAUUUAAACUAUGGGAGGUAUUUCACUCUAGCAACUGUUAACUGUAGUGGAUUUUUCCUAAUUCCUUAUAUAACACAAACAUGAAAUAUUACAAGUGGCCCUGAAAACUGAAGGGAAUCAAGGAAGGAAUUACUGUAUGAAAAAAGCCAUACAAUGACAUUGCUAGUGAUUUGCCAUACCAUAUUUUAAAAUGACUACAGUUUUCUGCAACACUACAGCAAAUACUUACCUGAAGAAUCUGAUUUCCAUUAACGACUGUCCCAUUCUGACUGCCUUGAUCCACAAGAACAUAAUUUUGCAAAUCGUGGUCAAAAUAUACUUCUGCAUGGAACUGAUAAAGAGAAGACUAAGUGAAAUAUUCUCAUUAAGCAUGUACUUCACAAUUUACAUGCUGUUUUAAAGUAAGAUUUCAGAAUAUAUUUUGGGGACUUAACCGAAUGGGUUCGGUUAAUAGAAUAUUCCAUGCUUUAUGAUUUUAUAUAUUUGAAAUGUAAAUGAAUGGGCAGCAACAGCAUGAGAUAAGGCGUACCAUUAAAAAUACAACUAUUUUUACCAUAAACUGAUCCAACACUGAGAAAGUGUAUGUACUUUCAAUAUAGAAAGUAUACUUUAUUUAAAGGAUUGCAAGAUCUAGUAAUAAAGCAUUUUUAGCUGUUCUUAUAAAUACAUGAUAUUUUUUCCUUGUAAGGUAUGUUAUAGCAAUCUCAAUUUUCCCCUUUCUGGAAGGCAUCAAAAAAGAUACUUAAAGAAAUGCAAUUAAUAAAAAAUCUGAACCUCUACA